rnacentral:tRNA from 2 species
GUUAUAAUAGUUUAAAUUUUUUAGAAUUUUGUUUUGAUUGAGCAAAGGUAUUUAUAAUU